GUGAAGUAAAACCCUAAAAACCUUCGUUUUUCCCUUGCUUUUUCUUCCUCCCCAGUAACUGAUACUUGCCCGCCGUCAAUGGCUUCUCGCUUUCGCUCGAUCUCGAGGCCAGCCCUUUCCAUCCUUAGGUCCUCCAUGGAAAAACCCCGAAUCUCAACAGCGUCCGCCAUUCCUCGCUUUCCUCCUCCAUUUUCAAGGGUUUCGCGGGGGGUGAGCUCGCUGCAGUCGCUAAUGCCCCUUCACAGCGCGGUCUCGUCGGCUCGGUUAACGUCCCAGCUGGGGAUCGACUGGGCGGCUUGCUCGAGUUCUCUCUUCAAGGGUACGCUCUGCAGCUCGAAUCCCGGGGCCGCUCCCUAACCUUUCUGGGUGUAGACCAGGCUUCUGAUGCACAAUCCAACAAAAAAAUAUGAGCUGAUGAUCUCUAUCCCUCCAUAGAAGACCUGCAAAUAACUAUGAGAGCAAACUCCAGGAUCACUGCAGGUUUGAACUUGUGAUAUUAUGUUUUUGACCCUGAGACAAUUUUUUUUUUUUUUUUAAAUAAUUUGUAAGACUUGUUUGAUUUGUAUACUUCAAAUAAUUAGAAUAAUUAUGCGGUUUUGAAAUGUAUUAUUU